rfam:Triticum aestivum genome assembly, contig: Triticum_aestivum_CS42_TGACv1_scaffold_569178_7AS
UUCAUACUCCCUUCGUCCCAAAAUUCUUGUCUUAGAUUUGUCUAGAUAUGGAUAUAUCUAUACUAAAACAUGACUUGAUACAUUCAUAUUUAGACAAAUGUAAGACAAGAAUUUUAGAAUGGAGGGAGUAUUAA